rnacentral:misc_RNA from 1 species
AUCUCUCAAUACUAGAGCUUGUUAACUCAAGCGCUAGUCAUUGGACUUGGGAGCUUGCCGGCCUAGUCGGCUCUCCUUGAAUGCAUUAGCUUGGACCUUCACAAGAUCCUCGGUGUGAUAAUUAUCUACGCCGUCAGGAAUCAUGUGGCGCGUGCUACCCUGCUUCAUUGCAGCUGCUGUAGCCGCGGGGGGACGAGCUUACAAUCGUCUUCGGACAAUUAUUAUGAC